GAGCCCUCUCUGAAGCAUGGAAAUAGGUGUGGUUUCCAGGGAGGUGUGUGACAUGAGGAGCGUGUUCGCAAGUGAUGGUCUAAAUGUGUGUCGGUGUGUGUGUGUCUGUGUGUCAGUGUGUCAGUGGUGGACAGUAACGAAGUACAUGUAAUUCGUUCCUGUACUUAAGUAACAUAUAGAUGUAUCUCGACUUUACUCAAGUAUUUAUAUUUAGUGAUACUUUGUACUUUGACUCCACAACAUUUCUAAGUGAAUAAUCAUACUUUUUACUCCGUUCCAUUUAUUAAAACCUCUCGUUCCAUUUUACCAAAGCGAAUCGUAAUGAGAGGUCAAACACUCUCUGGUCACAGCCAGUGCACAAUCACGCACCAAUCAGGGCUCAGCGCGCAAUUUGCUCUGAAGUCCUUUCGAUUUCGUCAGUUUCGUUCGUUUGAUUAGACAUUGUGUGCGGGAGAGCUAGGUUUAAAUCAUUACAACGCAAAGCAUUUUGCAGGAUGAUGCUCAUGCUCACUUAAUGCUACAAUAAUGACAGAAACGUCCGACACUGACUUGCCUGAACACCCGUAGCCUUAUUUAGGCAAACUUUUUGAAAUGGUGGAAAGGAAGACGGAUUCGUUUUACUUUAAGUGUCUUCUCUGCCUGCCGAAGAACAAUAUUAUAUCCUUGUUCAAGAAUUCUCCCUCGAAUUUAAAGAAACACGUCGAGAGAAAGCAUGCAAGUGUUGUGGAUAGGUAUGACGCUUUGACUGCCCCACGCAAAAGAAAAGCAAAGAACCAAGACGCUCCUUCAACUUUAAAACAGUUAAAGUUAGGACCACCUUGCGACGCAAGAUAGAUGAGGCUGCAAUUGUGAUGAAGAGGAACAUCAAAGAAGCUAUGGACAAGGCCUGGACUACAUUAAGGACCAUCUGGAGGAAGACCCUUCACAUCAAUUGCCAGCUAAUGGCUCCAGU